CUGAGCUAUCAUUGGAUACAUUUUACUUCAUUGAACACCUGACUGCUGCUUUUUCUGUAAUCCCUCAGGGGCAGUCAUCUUUUCUGAUUCUGAGUAUAGUUUGCCUUUCCAGAUCCGUGCCAUUUAAGCUAGAAAAGGGGUCAGUUUUGAGAUGUGAAAAUGUUGAAAGGCUCCUCGUUAUUAGUGGGAAGUAUCUGAUGUUGCCAGAGACUGAACUGGGGCGCGGGGAGCACUACGGCUGCUAGACACUGCCUCACUGCGCUGUGGGUGGGGGAGGUGCUGGAUUCAGUCUUACUGCCUAAUGAUUUGUGAGGAUUUGUGUUUUCAGAGUAACAUGUUUACCUUAUGUUAUCAGUUCCUAAUAUGUGACGUAUGGGCCACAGAUGCUGGUGUAUUAUUUCACAUGCAUUUAUAUAGAUUGUUUUCAGGGAAUUCAGAAAUUCUGUUAUCUCUACACUAGUGAUUGUGCUUUCUUGAUUUUUCUCUUUUCAUUAUUCUUAAAUCCUCCUUUUUUUUAUUUGCAUCUCAGUUCGUUUAUACUCGGGAAGUGCAAGACAUGGCUACUAGAAAGAGAUGUCAAGAGAACCGGAAUCCAGUAGGCUACAAUUUGGCAAAUCUUAGCUUAAAACUUCCUAAAUGUUGACCACAGUGGAUGCAAAUGGCUCUGUGCAUCGUCUGUUCAAUAUGGUCAGGUGACCACCCAGGUUCACGUGGUUUGUCACCAGGGUGAUACGAGCCACAUGGAGUGCCCUCCUCAGAGGCCAUGUCUCAGAGAUGUGUAUUUUGAGUGGUUUUCCAGCAAGUGAUGCAAGAUUUAUGAUCCAUUUUAAGAGCCUGCUUUUUAUGCAUUUGCUCAAAUUUUUAGAUUUUAAGUUUAGUUUUAGGUUUUCUGUUAAACUUGCUCAACUAGGAGUGGUGGUCAAAUACUGGACCUCAUUAGCAUGGUAGCCUGCACACCUUGGCAGGCUCCACUGGAGUGCUUUGGGGCCUGCCUGGAUUCCAGUCCUGGCUCUACCAGUUUUGUGUCCUCGCCAUUACUGGGAGGGAGAAUUGAGGAAAUGCAUGUGAGGUGCUUCCCGUGAUUCCUGGCACGGAGCAAGUGCUCAGUAAUUGUCAGCUGUGAGUAUUAGUAGUAGCUAAUACACUACUACUAUUCUUGGCUAACAAGCCAGCUCAAAGCUUUGAUGGUUUUCCAUUACCUGAUGAUGGUGAUGAUGGUUUCCACUUCCUGAACACUCACACCCCUGGGCUAGGCACUUAACCCAAAUCCAAGGUCAGCGUUAUUGUUUGGGGGUGGGGGAGACACCUCCUGCUCUGACUCGUGUGUUUGGGUUCCCGUAUUUUCACCAGAGGGUGUUAGUCCUGCCCAAGUUCAGCUGGUCCUCAAAGCGUAUAUAGCUCUUUAACCCUCAGCAAGUGUCAGUCAGAACAUAAUCUUGAUUUCAGCUGCUACUAAAUAUCUACCAGGAGCCUGCUUGAGAGAGAGAAUUGCCUGACAGGUGCUGAGUCCACCAUUCCUGAGAUACUUUGAAAUCAGUGUCUGGCUUAACCCAAGCUGUGUAUGGGGACCCUCUCACCGUGGUCCCAAUGGAGUCGCUUUUGUUAGGCGCCCCCCUUUACCUUGGGCUCUGAGCUUCCUCUGCCUUUCAUCUCUGCAGGAUGAAGCCCCACCCGCCGUACAGGAUGCAAAGCCCUCCUCUAUAAAGUGCAUGCGGGGCCAGAUGCAGUGGCUCACGUCUGACCUCCCAACACCUUGGGAGGCCGAGGCAGGGGGAUCGUUUGAGACCAGCCUGGGCAACAUUGUGAGACCCUGUUCCUUGAAUUGCCCUGGGAGAUUUCCUCAGCUUGUGUUGGAGGCAUGUGGCCCCAUGAAGCCCGUAGUCACCGUUUACCCUGAGAGACGCUGGCUUUGGGGCUGACACACCUGCUGCGGGGCAGCCCCAGGAGAUGGCCACCCUGUUUCUCCUGGAGCUGGAGCUGCGCGUGUUCUCAGCAACUGUGGUGGCUGUCCUGUUUUGUUUGCAUCUUAUAAACCUUUACCUGAUUACAUUUUCCUCUUCAGUUUAGCUGCUAGAGAACUUAAAGUCAGAUUGGUGGCUCGCCAGUAAUGAGAGUUUAGAGUAGAGGUAAACUUUAUGACAUAGUCUUAGACUCUUCCGUUUCUCCUCAGCCAACAUGAUUCACAUUUACUUUAUUUUGCUGUACUGUGAGUGUCUUUGUGUUUCCUGAAUUCCUUCUGGAAUAAGGCAGGCUGGUAGUAAGCACAGGUUUCUGGUCCAUCUCAUAGCCUCAGGCAGUGGGUGGUGCUGUCCAUGCUCCCUUUCUGGGUUACCUGUGGUAGCUCUGAAGUUGCAGGGCUGCGAUUUGAAGCCUGAUUUAGUACACCGUGUUUCUGUCAUGUUCUGUGGUGGUUUGCUCCUGACAUGUGACCAUUCACCCUGUGGCCCUGUGUUUUUCCACCACACCUCUGCCUGGUGGCAUCCUACUGGAUGUCUCAGCCGAGCCACUCUGUUCUGAAGAUGCCCUUGUCCUCCACCCCUUUGCUUUGGGCUCUGAGCUUCUGCCUUUCAUCUCUGUAGGAUGAAGCCCCACCCGCCCUUCAGGAUGCCAGCCUUGGCAACAUUGUGAGACCCUGUUUCUACAAAAAGUAAACGUGUAGUGGUGCACGCCUGUAGUUCCAGCUACUUGGGAGGCUGAGAUGGGAAGAUCACUUCAGCCUGGGAGGUUGAGGCUGCAUUGAGCUGAGAUCAAGCCACGGCACUCCAGCCUGGGAGACAGAGCGAAACCCCAUCUCAAAAAAACAAAGAAAGUGGAUGCGCGCUGCUCCUGCCAUUGGAUCAUCGCAGCAUUUUUCUUUUCUCUGAUAUGCGCCUUUUUCCUCACCGUGGGGGCUCAUGUUUUCGUAGUUUCUUCUCGCUACUAGAUUGUGAGCUGCGUGAAGGAAGGUUCAUAGUUGUGUUGUAUGUACAGGCACACAAAAUUUGUCCUUGGAUAGACACAUAUCAGUCCGCUUCCUUCUCCUCUCUGAAUUUCUUUAUUUAAAAAAAAGAAUUAGAGAUGGAGUCUCACUGUCUUGCCCAGGCUGGUCUCAAACUCCUAGGCUCAAGCGAUCCUCCCGCCUCUACUAAUAUGAAUUAUUAGCCUAUACUAAUAUGAAUUCCUAUACUAAUAUGAUUGAAAUUAGUUUGACUUGUAUAAUAAUUGUUCUCCCAGAUUGGGCUUCUGUUUUGAUAGUAGAACUAAAUUAUUAGGCUAUUUCAAGAAAUUAAUAUAUUACUGGUAGAAAAACUGAAGCUACAAAAUGGCCUGGUUUCUCACUUCAGUUAAAUUUGUGCUUCUGAGUGCUUGUAUUGUAGGUGAAACCGCACUGAGAAGGUAUUUGUGGCCCGUACGCUGGUUCAUUGAUGAGACUUCUUUGCACAGGAGAGCCGCUAAAAAUUACUGUGGUGAACAGGUAUGAAGAAGACUGUUCUCUGCCCUUCUUUUUGCAAUAAAAUGUUACAAACUA
rnacentral:lncRNA from 10 species